AGUGAACGCUGGCGGUAGGCCUAACACAUGCAAGUCGAACGGCAGCACAGUAAGAGCUUGCUCUUACGGGUGGCGAGUGGCGGACGGGUGAGGAAUACAUCGGAAUCUACUUUUUCGUGGGGGAUAACGUAGGGAAACUUACGCUAAUACCGCAUACGACCUACGGGUGAAAGCAGGGGAUCUUCGGACCUUGCGCGAUUGAAUGAGCCGAUGUCGGAUUAGCUAGUUGGCGGGGUAAAGGCCCACCAAGGCGACGAUCCGUAGCUGGUCUGAGAGGAUGAUCAGCCACACUGGAACUGAGACACGGUCCAGACUCCUACGGGAGGCAGCAGUGGGGAAUAUUGGACAAUGGGCGAAAGCCUGAUACAGCCAUACCGCGUGGGUGAAGAAGGCCUUCGGGUUGUAAAGCCCUUUUGUUGGGAAAGAAAAGCAGCAGGUUAAUACCCCGCUGUUCUGACGGUACCCAAAGAAUAAGCACCGGCUAACUUCGUG
rnacentral:rRNA from 1 species